rnacentral:rRNA from 1 species
CUUUCUUUUGCUGGCGACCGGCGCACGGGUGAGUAACACGUAUCCAACCUGCCCUUUACUCGGGGAUAGCCUUUCGAAAGAAAGAUUAAUACCCGAUAGCAUAAUGAUUCCGCAUGGUUUCAUUAUUAAAGGAUUCCGGUAAAGGAUGGGGAUGCGUUCCAUUAGGCUGUUGGUGAGGUAACGGCCCACCAAGCCUUCGAUGGAUAGGGGUUCUGAGAGGAAGGUCCCCCACAUUGGAACUGAGACACGGUCCAA